rnacentral:rRNA from 1 species
ACUCUCAGCAACGGAUAUCUUGGCUCUUGCAACGAUGAAGAACGCAGCGAAAUGCGAUACGUAGUGUGAAUUGCAGAAUUCCGCGAAUCAUCGAGUUUUUGAACGCAAGUUGCGCCCGAGGCUUGUCCGAGGGCAUUUCCGCUAGAGCGU